GUUGGUGUUUUUAACGAUGAGGGUCCACCUGUUCCCAUUCCGAACACAGAAGUUAAGCUCAUCAGUGCCGAAGAUACUUGUCUGGAGACGGACCGGAAAAAUAGGUCAAUGCCAACA
rnacentral:rRNA from 1 species